rnacentral:rRNA from 1 species
GACGAACGCUGGCGGCGCGCUUAACACAUGCAAGUCGAACGGAAAGGCCUGCUUUCCCUUGUGGAUUGCGGGUACUCGAGUGGCGAACGGGUGAGUAACACGUGAGUGAUCUGCCCCCAACUUGGGUAUAAGCCUGGGAAACUGGGUCUAAUUCCCGAUAGGACUGCAGGGUGGUGCCUGUGGUGGAAAACGAUUUUCUAGUGGUUGGGGAUGAGCUCGCGGCCUAUCAGCUUGUUGGUGGGGUAAUGGCCUACCAAGGCGGCGACGGGUAGCCGGCCUGGGGGGGUGGGCGGGCACAGUGGGAAUGGGAUACGGGCCAGGCACCUACGGGGGGCCGCCGGGGGGGAGAAUGGCCAAGGGGGGGAAGCCUGGAGCCGGGGCGCCGGGGGGGGGAUGACGGCCUUCGGGUUGUAAACUCCUUUCGACCGCGAGGAAGCCACCUGGUUGGAAGGGUGGUGACGGUAGUGGUAGAAGAAGCACCGGCUAACUACGUG